ACAGGUUAAUAUUCCUGUACUUGGUGUUACUGCGAAGGGGGGACGGAGAAGGCUAUGUUGGCCGGGCGACGGUUGUCCCGGUUUAAGCGUGUAGGCUGGUUUUCCAGGCAAAUCCGGAAAAUCAAGGCUGAGGCGUGAUGACGAGGCACUACGGUGCUGAAGCAACAAAUGCCCUGCUUCCAGGAAAAGCCUCUAAGCAUCAGGUAACAUCAAAUCGUACCCCAAACCGACACAGGUGGUCAGGUAGAGAAUACCAAGGCGCUUGAGAGAACUCGGGUGAAGGAACUAGGCAAAAUGGUGCCGUAACUUCGGGAGAAGGCACGCUGAUAUGUAGGUGAGGUCCCUCGCGGAUGGAGCUGAAAUCAGUCGAAGAUACCAGCUGGCUGCAACUGUUUAUUAAAAACACAGCACUGUGCAAACACGAAAGUGGACGUAUACGGUGUGACGCCUGCCCGGUGCCGGAAGGUUAAUUGAUGGGGUCAGCGCAAGCGAAGCUCUUGAUCGAAGCCCCGGUAAACGGCGGCCGUAACUAUAACGGUCCUAAGGUAGCGAAAUUCCUUGUCGGGUAAGUUCCGACCUGCACGAAUGGCGUAAUGAUGGCCAGGCUGUCUCCACCCGAGACUCAGUGAAAUUGAACUCGCUGUGAAGAUGCAGUGUACCCGCGGCAAGACGGAAAGACCCCGUGAACCUUUACUAUAGCUUGACACUGAACAUUGAGCCUUGAUGUGUAGGAUAGGUGGGAGGCUUAGAAGUGUGGACGCCAGUCUGCAUGGAGCCGACCUUGAAAUACCACCCUUUAAUGUUUGAUGUUCUAACGUUGACCCGUAAUCCGGGUUGCGGACAGUGUCUGGUGGGUAGUUUGACUGGGGCGGUCUCCUCCUAAAGAGUAACGGAGGAGCACGAAGGUUGGCUAAUCCUGGUCGGACAUCAGGAGGUUAGUGCAAUGGCAUAAGCCAGCUUGACUGCGAGCGUGACGGCGCGAGCAGGUGCGAAAGCAGGUCAUAGUGAUCCGGUGGUUCUGAAUGGAAGGGCCAUCGCUCAACGGAUAAAAGGUACUCCGGGGAUAACAGGCUGAUACCGCCCAAGAGUUCAUAUCGACGGCGGUGUUUGGCACCUCGAUGUCGGCUCAUCACAUCCUGGGGCUGAAGUAGGUCCCAAGGGUAUGGCUGUUCGCCAUUUAAAGUGGUACGCGAGCUGGGUUUAGAACGUCGUGAGACAGUUCGGUCCCUAUCUGCCGUGGGCGCUGGAGAACUGAGGGGGGCUGCUCCUAGUACGAGAGGACCGGAGUGGACGCAUCACUGGUGUUCGGGUUGUCAUGCCAAUGGCACUGCCCGGUAGCUAAAUGCGGAAGAGAUAAGUGCUGAAAGCAUCUAAGCACGAAACUUGCC
rnacentral:rRNA from 1 species